AGGAUUGGGCCGCCCGCGGCCGCCUCCCGCCUCCCACCGCCUUCGCUGCAGCCGCGGCUCCGCUUCUGCGCCCGCCUUCCCGCUCGCGCUCCCAGGGGUCAGCGGGGAAACCAGCGCUGAGGACGUCCUUGUCGGCCCGAGCCCGGCCCAGAGCCCCGCCGCGGGCUCGGCACAGACCCACGGCCCCGCACACGCGGCCCCGUCCUGCUGAGCCCAGUGCGGUGACUGGCUGCAGGUGAUGACCAGUGUUCUGCAUACAGAACCGGAAGAGUGGAGCUGCGAAGGCACCAAACAGAAAGAAAAGAUCAGAAAAUGCAGAGACUGAUGUCCUGGUAUGGUCCAUGUAUUCCAUCAUCAGAUGACAGACCAUGAAUGGAGGGACUCAAAGAUGGAAGACUCUCCAGUACCUUGACUAUAUGUUGUCUAAAGAAGAAAUCAGGUAUGAAUCUGCACAGUAGUGAAACAUAAUUUUCCAACUACUCAGAAAAAGUGUUCAGUAAUCAAGUUCAGUUUAGAGAGAUUUUGAGGAAUUAAUUUUUGGUUUAAGUUGUAAAUAAUUAUUUUUGCUCAAUUUUAUUGAAUUAUUAAGCUGUAUUAGAUAUAAUUGUAUUCAAUGUGAGUAUGAUAAAAUUUAUGUUGGAAUUACUGUAGAAUGGAAACUGUCCUUUCUGUUUUAAAUUCUAUUAUUUGUAUUUUCUAAAAUCAGAUCUCUAAAAAUCUUUCCAUUCUGCGUGGUUAUGUCUUUGAAAGCCAACAGUAUUCACUGCUGUAUGCUGAACUGCCCAUUGAAGGGGUAGACAGCACUGUGCUUCAAC